UAAUUAUUGUCUUUUCUUAAAUUCUAAUAAAUCAGUGAGUUGUACAACAUAGAGGGUAUUAUAUUUGAAUGAUAAUUGAAACACAUAUUGUUAUAGAGCUCAAAACUAUGUACUUAUCUAAUAUAAUUAAUAUACUGAAACAGUUUUAUUGAAGCAUAUUAUUUCAUAUUUUACCACACAGAGACUGAUGUGUAAGCUUAAAGUAAAGACAUCAAAUCAAAGUAUCAGCUAUCAAGAGGAAGAACAUUCAAAAUCAUAUUGUGAUACACAAAUCAAGCAAGUCUAUAACCAGCAAUAUGAUACAGGCCAAGAAAAAGCUGGAUAUUUGAUUGGAAGGGUGGCACAAAAAAGAUGGGUUAUCACUAGGGAAACAAGCUCGGAAUACAGUUCACUGUUGGGACAUCAAGCCAAAUACUUCUAAACUUAUUUGAAUCAUUUUUGCUGUUUAUUAUAAUUCAUCCAAUUGUCUUAUUAAAUAUAUAAAUUUAUAUAUAUACACAAUUCCUAAUAUAGAAUUUCUAAAAAUGUUUUAUUAUAAUAUUUAAAAAUGAAACAAACAUGUUCCCAGAACACAGCCACAUAAUUUCAACAUGUUCCCAGAACACACAAAAUGUCAACAUGUUCCCAGAACACAGCCAAAUAAUGGCAACAUGUUCCCAGAACACAGCCAAACAAUGUCAACAUGUUCCAUGAACUCACAAAAUGGCAACAUGUUCCCAGAACACACAAAAUGUCAUUAUGUGCCCAGAACACACAAAAUGGCAACAUGUUCCCAGAACACACAAAAUGGCAACAUGUGUCGAGAACACAAAAAAUGACAACAUGUGCCGUUAACAAUACUUCACUUUUUCCUUAACAAUUUUACAAGCAGGUAAUAAAGCCAUAAAUCUUUACUGUGGAUAUAGCCAAUAAAUAGGGUAACCUUCAC